rnacentral:rRNA from 1 species
UGGGGAAUAUUGCACAAUGGGCGCAAGCCUGAUGCAGCGACGCCGCGUGAGGGAUGACGGCCUUCGGGUUGUAAACCUCUUUCAGCAGGGAAGAAGCGCAAGUGACGGUACCUGCAGAAGAAGCGCCGGCUAACUACGUGCCAGCAGCCGCGGUAAUACGUAGGGCGCAAGCGUUGUCCGGAAUUAUUGGGCGUAAAGAGCUCGUAGGCGGUUUGUCGCGUCUGCUGUGAAAACGCGAGGCUCAACCUCGCGCCUGCAGUGGGUACGGGCAGAAUAGAGUGCGGUAGGGGAGACUGGAAUUCCUGGGGGAGCGGUGGAAUGCGCAGAUAUCAGGAGGAACACCGGUGGCGAAGGCGGGUCUCUGGGCCGUAACUGACGCUGAGGAGCGAAAGCAUGGGGAGCGAACA